AUUGAACGCUGGCGGCAUGCUUUACACAUGCAAGUCGAACGGUAACAGGGAGCUUGCUCCGCUGACGAGUGGCGAACGGGUGGGUAAUGCGUCGGAACGUGCCGAGUAGUGGGGGAUAACGCAGCGAAAGUUGUGCUAAUACCGCAUACGUACUGAGGUAGAAAGUGGGGGACCUUCGGGCCUCACGCUAUUCGGGUGGCCGACGUCUGAUUAGCUAGUAGGUGAGGUAAAGGCUCACCUAGGCGACGAUCAGUAGCGGGUCUGAGAGGGUGAUCCGCGACACUGGGACUGAGAAACGGCCCAGAGUCCUACGGGAGGCAGCAGUGGGGAAUUUUGGUCAAUGGGCGAAAGCCUGAUCCAGCCAUGCCGCGUGUCUGAAGAAGGCCUUCGGGUUGUAAAGGACUUUUGUCGGGGAGGAAAUCCCCAGCGCUAAUACCGCUGGGGGAUGACAGUACCUGAAGAAUAAGCACCGGCUAACUACGUGCCAGCCGCCGCCGUAAUAC
rnacentral:rRNA from 1 species